rnacentral:misc_RNA from 1 species
GAUGAAGAACGUAGCGAAAUGCGAUAAGUAAUGUGAAUUGCAGAAUUCAGUGAAUCAUCGAAUCUUUGAACGCACCUUGCGCCCUUUGGCUAUUCCGAAGGGCAUGCCUGUUUGAGUAUCGUGAACACCUCAACUCUCAUGGUUUGCCAUGAUGAGCUUGGACUUUGGGGGUUUUGCUGGCCUUUGGUCGGCUCCUCUCAAACGGAUCAGCUUUCCAGUGUUUGGUGGCGUCACGGGUGUGAUAACUAUCUACGCCUGUGGUUUUCUGCCAGAUAACCUUCAGCGAUGGAGGUUCGCUGGGGCUCAUAAAUGUCUCUCUUCAGUGGAGACAGCUUUUUGGACGUUUGAUCUCAAAUCAGGUAGGACUACCCGCUGAACUUAGGCAUAUCAAUAAGCGGAGGA